rnacentral:lncRNA from 1 species
GCUUUUCUUUUUUUUUUAAUUUUAAUUUUUUUCAUGAAUAACUUUUCACAUAAUUUCAGCAGGUUCAUCGCCUCCUGAGUUCACAUGGACCCCCUUGGGAAUUUAUGGACACCCCCGCCCAGGUUAGGAAAACCUGCUCUUGUGUGGGUUGCUUCAAACAAGUUUAAAUUUGCCUUCUCCUAGUUGUCCAUAGAUCUAAGCUUUUUCUAAAAGUCCCAUGGAACUUGUAAUGAGACCUCUAAAUGUCCCAUAUCCCAAAAUGCUGUUGUAGGCUUCUUAGAUUUUG